CGGGACACGUGGUAUCCUGUCUGAAUAUGGGGGGACCAUCCUCCAAGGCUAAAUACUCCUGACUGACCGAUAGUGAACCAGUACCGUGAGGGAAAGGCGAAAAGAACCCCGGCGAGGGGAGUGAAAAAGAACCUGAAACCGUGUACGUACAAGCAGUGGGAGCACGCUUAGGCGUGUGACUGCGUACCUUUUGUAUAAUGGGUCAGCGACUUAUAUUCUGUAGCAAGGUUAACCGAAUAGGGGAGCCGAAGGGAAACCGAGUCUUAACUGGGCGUUAAGUUGCAGGGUAUAGACCCGAAACCCGGUGAUCUAGCCAUGGGCAGGUUGAAGGUUGGGUAACACUAACUGGAGGACCGAACCGACUAAUGUUGAAAAAUUAGCGGAUGACUUGUGGCUG
rnacentral:rRNA from 1 species